GAGCAUUUGAUCUUCACCUCUAGCCAGUGCAGAUCACUGUAAUCACGCCAUCGCAAUACUUGUGAUCAAUAACUAAGAGUGUAUGCUAGGAAUCCUAGCUGCUGCAAUCUGUCAAAGGGUAAGCAAUGGACCACAAGGGAAUGAUUACUGUUUACUGCACACACUAGAAGUGAGACUAUAUGGUUCCUGUUCACCACAUCACCUCUAGCAGCCAAAGGUAGAAAAAAGUUUCCCCAGGAAAUAGGAAUUCUACAACUCUGCAAACCAUAC